UAAAAGAGGCUCAAACGCGACUCGAAACUGAAUCUGUUCCCACUUGUUCUUCGUCAUGGCGAGGUUUCACAUCUUUCUUGUGCUCAUGGCCGUCAUGCUCUCUGUAGCCAUGCCGCGCGAACAGUUCAUAAGGACGACUCUGCACCCGGGUACAGGUGGAAAAGGUUUCUAAGCAUCGAGAUAAUUGGAUUUGUAUCUCAAUAAACGAUUGCUUUAA